rnacentral:rRNA from 1 species
UAGAUGCGAGAGUAGAGCAUAUCAAUAAGCGGAGGAAAAGAAACUAACAAGGAUUCCCUUAGUAACGGCGAGUGAAGCGGGAAGAGCUCAAAUCUGAAAUCUUCAAGGUUCUACCUUGACGAAUUGUAGUUUAAAGAAGUGUUUUCUGUUAGAGUUUGAGUAGAAAAGUUCUUUGGAAUAGGACAUCAUAGAGGGUGAGAAUCCCGUAUUUGGUUAUUCAUUCUAGCUUUGUGAUACACUUUCAAAGAGUCGGAUUGUUUGGGAAUGCAGUCCAAAAUGGGUGGUAAAUUUCAUCUAAAGCUAAAUAUUGGCGAGAGACCGAUAGCGAACAAGUACCGUGAGGGAAAGAUGAAAAGAACUUUGAAAAGAGAGUUAAACAGUACGUGAAAUUGUCAAAAGGGAAGCGUUUGACACCAGUGUUGUUUUUCCGAAAAUCAAUUACGAAUGGCUUGAUUUUGUGUUGUAUUGACCUUAUCAGCUUUCUUCACUUUUUUCGAGUCUUUCUUAAUGCACUUUUCGGUUAACAAGUCAACAUCAAUUUCUUUUGUUGUAAAAGAGUAUUCGGAAGGUGGCUUUCUUUUCGGAGAAAGUGUUUAUAGCCCUAUACUUCUACAAUCGGAGAGAUUGAGGUCUGCAGCGUAGAUCCUUCGGGGUUAGAUACAUUUGUGCUAAGUUGUAGCUUUUCAUAGACAACUUGUUGACUAUGUUUAGUCAUGCGGCUUACUCGCUUAGUGCUAUUUUACCUACGCUUAGGAUGUUGAGCGCAUGUCUCUCUCU